UACGUAGGGUGCAAGCGUUGUCCGGAAUUACUGGGCGUAAAGCGUGCGCAGGCGGUUAUGCAAGACAGAUGUGAAAUCCCCGGGCUCAACCUGGGAACUGCAUUUGUGACUGCAUAGCUAGAGUACGGUAGAGGGGAUGGAAUUCCGCGUGUAGCAGUGAAAUGCGUAGAUAUGCGGAGGAACACCGAUGGCGAAGGCAAUCCCCGUGGACCUGUACUGACGCUCAUGCACGAAAGCGUGGGGACAAACAGG
rnacentral:rRNA from 1 species